GAUGGACGCUGGCGGCGUGCCUAAUACAUGCAAGUCGAGCGAACAGACGAGGAGCUUGCUCCUCUGACGUUAGCGGCGGACGGGUGAGUAACACGUGGAUAACCUACCUAUAAGACUGGGAUAACUUCGGGAAGACGGAGCUAAUACCGGAUAACAUGUUGAACCGCAUGGUUCAACAGUGAAAGACGGUCUUGCUGUCACUUAUAGAUGGAUCCGCGCCGCAUUAGCUAGUUGGUAAGGUAACGGCUUACCAAGGCAACGAUGCGUAGCCGACCUGAGAGGGUGAUCGGCCACACUGGAACUGAGACACGGUCCAGACUCCGACGGGAGGCAGCAGUAGGGAAUCUUCCGCAAUGGGCGAAAGCCUGACGGAGCAACGCCGCGUGAGUGAAGAAGGUCUUCGGAUCGUAAAACUCUGUUAUUAGGGAAGAACAAAUGUGUAAGUAACUAUGCACGUCUUGACGGUACCUAAUCAGAAAGCCACGGCUAACUACGUG
rnacentral:rRNA from 1 species